AAGAGCGACGGGCGAUGUGUACAUAUUUUAGAGCUAAAAUCAAAUUAUUUAUCUUUAUAAUUUUACUAUCAAAUCCACUAUCAAUAAAUAAUUUCAUAAUUAUAUCCAUCUAAAUAAAUUUAUUGUAACUCAUUAUAACCUUAAAUAUUAGCUACACCUUGAUCUGAUAUAAAAUUUUAUAAAAAAAUUUGAAUAUUAUUUUUCUUAUAAAAUAUUCUUUUAACGACGAUAUAUAAACUGAUAAACAAAUUUAAGUAAGAUACAUCGUGGAUUAUCGAUUACUAAACAAGUUCCUCUGAAUAGACUAAAAUACCGCCAAAUUUUUUAAGUUUCAAGAACAUAACUAAUACUACUCAAAUUUAAAUACAUUUUAAAUAAUAGGGUAUCUAAUCCUAGUUUA
rnacentral:rRNA from 1 species